AUUGCUGCUUAUUUUGUUACAGUGUAUAGAACAUUUAUUCCUUCCAGAAUGUAAACUAAUAUAUUUUCCUGCUUCGAAAUGUGACUAAGAUACAAGCACAUUACAUCAUUUUUAAAUAACACAUUUCCUAAAUAUAUAUAUUACUAUAGAUAACACAUCACACUUUCUUAUAUUUUAAUAUCUCUUUAAAUAAUACAAUCUCUGUUUUUCCCCAGCAUUGGGCUAGUAAGACAAAGGUACGUGGAAAACCGGCCUUGGAAGCAGAAGACUACCCGCAUUGCUAUCCCCAGAACACGAGAUGCAUUGACUUAAGUGAUCUAGAGUACUUAAAUGAACGUGCUACUUUCCAGCGUCAAUCCCAGUUAAAGCCCUGAAGGGCUGCUGGCUCCUUUGAAGCAGAUGUUACGGAGGGUGGGCCAAAGGCCAUGGGGGUGAGAUUCCACACGCAUUCCUGCUUGACAAUUAGUUUUGAUUUGUCUACACAAGUACUGGAGAGACAGGAGUGUCGCACCUGGAGGGAUGCCCUCAGGUUGAACUGCUCUCAGAUGCUGAAAUGCCAGCAUGGCGGAGGGAGUUCCUAGGAGGCUGCAUGUGGAGGGAUUUGGUGUCAGACAUCGACUUACUCCUGAAGCCACAGAACAGAGGACCCCACCGCUCCGGGGUGCCCUGCAUGUUGGAGGGAUGGCCAGCUAUACUACAGGCAUGUCCACAUUUUUGUGGCAGUUGACCAGGCUGAAAGUCCUGGCGCAAUUCUGGGAAAAGAAGUAGCCUCAGAUUGUAAGGAGGGUGGAUAACAGGAAAAAAGAUCAACUUCACUUCUGUAUCAUAUCAUCUUAACUACUGCUUUUGGAGGCCAGCUCUAGGAUCACUGUGUCUGAAAGAAUAAGAGAAAUGAGUGUUUUCAUCCCUUCCCUUCAGCAUGUUUACCGUGCGCAGUUCCCCAGUCAUAGUUGUCUUCUCCUCUUGCCCCAGAUCACCUGUUCAGUUGGUCUGUUGUUCAUAUGGUCGCUUCACGCAGCAGAAGGACAUUCAAACAAAUUGAAAACCUCUGAAGACAUUUUAAAAAGAUAAAAUAAGCAGAGGCUCUCAAGAAGAGGUGCAACAUGGCAAAGGUCUACGUUAACCCCGUUUUGGAAACUGGCUUGAUUUCAUGUUGACGGUGAUGAGCAUUUUAGAAAAAUGAAAUUCCUACAAAUUAGGACAGAAAAGAUAACGAGGAAAGUGUCCUGCUCCUUCCCCUGCCAGGGAAGUGGCCCAGGACGCUCCUAAUAGGCGCCCAUCCAGAACGGAGAGCUGUUUGUUUCAUGAACUCCAAGGAGCCAAACUGUGCUCUCUUGAGGUUAGAAAGAGACCAGGGGCACUGCCCGGAUUA